AGGAGACCUGCGUGGGCGGGAGCCCCACCGUGGUGCAGUCCGCGCGUCUCCUCCCUGAACUUUCUGAAGGCUGGACAUACCAAGAUGGAAAGGGCUUGCAUCUGAUGAAGGCCGCCUUGUGGAGUCAUCUCAUGGAAAACAACAGAAGCAUAUUGAAGACUCCUUCCAGUGAAGACGGGCAAGUUAAGUCUGUAUUACUGAGCACUGAGGAGUAUAGAACAUAUCAGAAUGGAAAGAGAAUAUUGCAUCUUUGUGGCCUUUCUUCAGAAUUUCUCCAAUGUAAGAUAUAUACAUUUCCAGAUCAUUUAAUAUUCCGCAAAUUCAGCAAGCAUAAAUCCUAGGACAGUCACAACAUUCCUGACGGAACAUCUGGAGCAGUCCUACUUGGCAAGAAGAAGCACAAGAAAGAUCAGGAAAAUGAAUGAGUUGUGGAAGUGGAGCUCUAAACUUGAGGACGGCCAUCAAGACAACGAAAACGACCUGUGUCUUUAAAGGGAGCAAGUUAGGGGCAGGCAGCCUCAAAUAAGUUGAAGAAACGUCUGGGCUGAUAAUAAACUGACUUCCGAAAUGUGGAUUUCACUUUGAGAACUUCACACAAAAACGGAAGGCAAGCAGUGACUGAACCAGGAUGAAGCCGACAUUGCCUAAAACACGCUUGCAUUGUCUUCCUCCAUUGGUCUACCGGAAUAGCACAGCUUAGGAAGCAUUCAGCUAGGGAGUUUUAUGAAUUUUCUUCUGAUGAAUAAUUGAUGCUUCUAUGCAGAUCCAGUUGGCGAAGGCUCUCCCAUCAUGCCUGCAAAAUAAUUGUAAUUUAAAGUUUAUGACAUAAGUUCUUUCAACCUGAGAUCUGGGAGAGGAGAGAGAACUUCCAAGUCUGUGGUGGUACCUGUCUCAUCCAGACCGCUGGAGCAAUCAUGAAUAGAAGAAUACAGACCAUUCUGAGUUUGCUGGAAGAAAGUUUGCAAUGAUCAGAAAAGUGGUUAAUUAAAUAUUGCUCAUUAAUGGAGGAAGAGCAGCAAAAUCUAUGAAAA